AUGAACGCUGGCGGCGUGCCUAAUACAUGCAAGUCGCGCGAACAGACGAGGAGCUUGCUCCCCUGACGUUAGCGGCGGACGGGUGAGUAACACGUGGAUAACCUACCUAUAAGACUGGGAUAACUUCGGGAAACCGGAGCUAAUACCGGAUAAUAUAUUGAACCGCAUGGUUCAAUAGUGAAAGACGGUUUUGCUGUCACUUAUAGAUGGAUCCGCGCCGCAUUAGCUAGUUGGUAAGGUAACGGCUUACCAAGGCAACGAUGCGUAGCCGACCUGAGAGGGUGAUCGGCCACACUGGAACUGAGACACGGUCCAGACUCCUACGGGAGGCAGCAGUAGGGAAUCUUCCGCAAAGGGCGAAAGCCUGACGGAGCAACGCCGCGUGAGUGAUGAAGGUCUUCGGAUCGUAAAACUCUGUUAUUAGGGAAGAACAAAUGUGUAAGUAACUAUGCACGUCUUGACGGUACCUAAUCAGAAAGCCACGGCUAACUACGUG
rnacentral:rRNA from 1 species